UACGAAGGGGGCUAGCGUUGUUCGGAAUUACUGGGCGUAAAGCGCGCGCAGGCGGUCUUCCAAGUCAGUGGUGAAAGCCUGGAGCUCAACUCCAGAACUGCCAUUGAAACUGUUAGACUUGAGUACGAGAGAGGUGAGUGGAAUUCCCAGUGUAGAGGUGAAAUGCGCAGAUAUCAGGAAGAACACCCGUGGCGAAAGCGGCUCUCUGGAACGGUACUGACGCUGAGACGCGAAAGCGUGGGGAGCGAACAGG
rnacentral:rRNA from 1 species